rnacentral:rRNA from 1 species
ACGGAAGGCAGCUGUGAGGAAUAUUGGUCAAUGGGCGAGAGCCUGAACCAGCCAAGUAGCGUGAGGGAUGACUGCCCUACGGGUUGUAAACCUCUCUUGUUUGGGAAUAACAGGGGCUACGCGUAGCCCUUUGCAUGUACCUUUUGAAUAAGCAUCGGCUAAUUCCGUGCCAGCAGCCGCGGUAAUACGGAAGAUGCGAGCGUUAUCCGGAUUUAUUGGGUUUAAAGGGAGCGUAGGCGGCCUUUUAAGUCUGCGGUCAAAUGUCAGGGCGCAACCUUGGCAUGCCGUGGAUACUGAUGGGCUUGAAUACACGCAAGGCAAGUGGAAUUCGUCGUGUAGCGGUGAAAUGCUUAGAUAUGACGAAGAACUCCGAUUGCGAAGGCAGCUUGCUGGGGUGCGAUUGACGCUGAGGCUCGAAAGUGCGGGAAUCAAACAGGAUUAGAUACCCUGGUA